CCUACGGGUGGCAGCAGUGAGGAAUAUUGGUCAAUGGGCGCGAGCCUGAACCAGCCAAGUAGCGUGAAGGAUGACUGCCCUACGGGUUGUAAACUUCUUUUAUAAAGGAAUAAAGUGAGGCACUUGUGCCUUUUUGUAUGUACUUUAUGACUAAGGAUCGGCUAACUCCGUGCCAGCAGCCGCGGUAAUACGGAGGAUCCGAUCGUUCUCCGGCUUUAUUGGGUUUAAAGGGAGCGUAGAUGGGUUGUUAAGUCAGUUGUGAAAGUUUGCGGCUCAACCGUAAAAUUGCAAUUGAUACUGGCAGCCUUGAGUACAGUUGAGGUAGGCGGAAUUCGUGGUGUAGCGGUGAAAUGCUUAGAUAUCACGAAGAACUCCGAUUGCGAAGGCAGCUUACUAAACUGCCACUGACAUUGAUGCUCGAAAGUGUGGGUAUCAAACAGGAUGAGAUACCCGAGUAGUC
rnacentral:rRNA from 1 species